rnacentral:lncRNA from 1 species
GCGGAUCCCCAUUUGAACCAUAUGAUCCAAUUAAGAGGUUGAUUGGUUAUAGUUCUUAAAAUGAUUUUUGGUUUUUGUUUAUGAAAAACUACUUUAUUUGCCAAUCAAGAUUUUGCUAAAAAUGAUUCCCUAAAAACUUGGAAAACUAAUUUUUCAAAUAACUACCGAAUUCUACACAAAAACCAAAAUCUAUGUUUUUCAGAUUUUUCCAAGUUCAAAUAUGGUUUUUAAUUAUUAUUGUUUAAUUUAUCAUUUUCUUUUUAAUAGCCUUCUUUUCAUAUUUUUUUUGUAAAUGAUCUUUCUUUUCAUAUUUAUU